ACACGACUACAUUACGAUACCCCGGUAGUCCUAGCCGUAAACGAUACUCGCUAGGUGUCGGCCACGGUGCGACCGUUGUCGGUGCCGUAGGGAAGCCGUGAAGCGAGCCACCUGGGAAGUACGGCCGCAAGGCUGAAACUUAAAGGAAUUGGCGGGGGAGCACAACAACGGGUGGAGCUUGCGGUUUAAUUGGAUUCAACGCCGGAAAUCUUACCGGGACCGACAGCAACAUGAAGGCCAAGCUGAAGACUUUGCCGGAUUAGCUG
rnacentral:rRNA from 1 species